rnacentral:lncRNA from 1 species
GAGGGAUGCAAGGUCGACGACGAAGGCCUUGUUGGAUUUAGGAUGAAUGUGGAGAAGGGUGAGGAGGUUAAACUCGUCACGAAGGAUGUUACCAUUGUCAGAGAUUCGUUGGGGUAGUAGUUGUAGGCUUAGGGGUUGGGAUUAAAGAGGGAAUGGAGACCGACAAGGUAAAGGUGGACAUGGUUAGGUUAAGGUUUUCUUUCUAGGCGGCAUUGACCUCAGAGUGNCUUUACAUUGCAUUAACCGUAAAAGUCAAUAGAAAAAUGGCAGUAAUCAAAGAUUAUACAAGUAGACAUGCAUAUCCAAAUUAAAAUCCUCUCCAUGAUAUCAUUCUCUAGGCAUACACAAAAUAAAGGAAAAAGUUACAUAAGCUAGAAGAAAUUAAAUCAACAAAAUGAAAAAAGAAAACAACGGGUAUAGCCAGCAAGUUUCAAACCUAGGAUGCAAGGUUCAAGCUUGAUCUGCUUCCCAGCAAUGUCAAUCUUAUUCAAAGCACGAAGAGAAAUUCCGCAACUCGGACAUCAUACAAACCAUUACCAGGUCAUAGUUGAAAUGAACACAGGGAUUGAAGAAGAUGCAGAGGCUCUCCAAACGAGGGAUGCAAGGUCGACGACGAAGGCCUUGUUGGAUUUAGGAUGAAUGUGGAGAAGGGUGAGGAGGUUAAACUCGUCACGAAGGAUGUUACCAUUGUCAGAGAUUCGUUGGGGUAGUAGUUGUAGGCUUAGGGGUUGGGAUUAAAGAGGGAAUGGAGACCGACAAGGUAAAGGUGGACAUGGUUAGGUUAAGGUUUUCUUUCUAGGCGGCAUUGACCUCAGAGUGCGAGAAUAGGAGUCCUAGGGUUCCUCUGUGACAAAUGUAGGGUUCGUUGACGGAGAACACGGGUACCACAACAAGGAGGCCACAACUUGAAGACGACGAUUGGAGGCAGGGACUCCUAGGGUUUGAGCCACGAAGAUGAUCGUUCGAUGAAUGAAGAUGAUGGUUACAGAUGAUGGAGGGAAAAAAGCACGAGAAGAAUGGCUCAAUGAGAACACGACUCCAUGGCAGCGAACGCCAGAGAAGAAACUGGAGAACAAUGGUCGAGAGGGAGCAACAAGAGGGAAGAAGGGCUCGAGGACAACUUUCCAACUUUGUUUUUGCUUCUAUUAGGGUUUAAUUUUUUUAAUCUUUUUUAUUAAUUAUUUUACAAUCGGGUAGAGAGGAAUUCAGUCAGAUACAAAUAUUAUAUACGAAUUCAUCCUUAGGAAAACUCUCAUCAAAAGGCACCACCAUACAUACGGAUCUUAUGUACGGAAAAUCCGUAUAUAAUUUUUUUUUCUUAUUAUAUACAGAAAAUCCAUAUGUAACUAAUCUGUAUAUAAAAUCCGUAUGUAAUGAAAUUAUUAUAUACGGAUUUUGAUCCGUAUGUAAUAAUUCGUAUGUAAAUGGUAUUUUUCUUGUAGUGUGAGUGAAUUAGAUGAAAUUGUCAACCCCCAACAACUCCAUUCAUCCAUAG